CAGAGGGCGCGAGCGUUGUCCGGCAUCACUGGGCGUAAAGGGCGCGUAGGGUGGCCACUAUAAGGCCGCGGUGAAAGUUCGGGGCUCAACCCCGAAUCGGCCGCGGCGACUGUAGGGCUUGGGCACUGUAGAGGCAGAUGGAAUUCCGGGUGUAGCGGUGGAAUGCGUAGAGAUCCGGAAGAACACCAGUGGCGAAGGCGGUCUGCUGGGCAGUGGGAGCGCAAGCUCCUUUUAGCCGACACUGAGGCGCGACAGCGUGGGGAGCAAACAGGAUUAGAUACCCUGGUAGUCCACGCCGUAAACGAUGGGCACUAGGUGCUUUGGGGAGCGACCCCCGGGGUACCGCGCUAACGCAUGAAGUGCCCCGCCUGGGGAGUACGGCCGCAAGGCUG
rnacentral:rRNA from 1 species